AUACGUAGGGGGCGAGCGUUGUCCGGAAUGAUUGGGCGUAAAGGGCGCGUAGGCGGCCCGGUAAGUCUGGAGUGAAAGUCCUGUUUUUAAGAUGGGAAUUGCUUUGGAUACUGUCGGGCUUGAGUGCAGGAGAGGUAAGUGGAAUUCCCAGUGUAGCGGUGAAAUGCGUAGAGAUUGGGAGGAACACCAGUGGCGAAGGCGACUUACUGGACUGUAACUGACGCUGAGGCGCGAAAGUGUGGGGAGCAAACAGGAUUAGGUACCCUGGUAGUCCACACUGUAAACGAUGAAUGCUAGGUGUAGGGGGUAUCGACCCCUUCUGUGCCGCAGUCAACACAAUAAGCAUUCCGCCUGGGGAGUACGGCCGCAAGGUUGAGACUCAAAUGAAUUGACGGGG
rnacentral:rRNA from 1 species